AGUGAACGCUGGCGGUAGGCCUAACACAUGCAAGUCGAACGGCAGCACGGUAAGAGCUUGCUCUUACGGGUGGCGAGUGGCGGACGGGUGAGGAAUACAUCGGAAUCUACUUUUUCGUGGGGGAUAACGUAGGGAAACUUACGCUAAUACCGCAUACGACCUACGGGUGAAAGCAGGGGAUCUUCGGACCUUGCGCGAUUGAAUGAGCCGCUGUCGGAUUAGCUAGUUGGCGGGGUAAAGGCCCACCAAGGCGACGAUCCGUAGCUGGUGUGAGAGGAUGAUCAGCCACACUGGAACUGAGACACGGUCCAGAGUCCUACGGGAGGCAGCAGUGGGGAAUAUUAGACAAAGGGCGCAAGCCUGAUCCAGCCAUACCGCGUGGGUGAAGAAGGCCUUCGGGUUGUAAAGCCCUUUUGUUGGGAAAGAAAAGCAGCAGGUUAAUACCCCGCUGUUCUGACGGUACCCAAAGAAUAAGCACCGGCUAACUUCGUG
rnacentral:rRNA from 1 species